UUCUGUUUUCUUCUUUUAAACUGACUGUCAAGUGUCAACAAAUUUAUAUAUAGUACCCUCCAACCAUUUUCCCUGCCACAAUUUAUUCUCCAACUCCAACCAAUUGGUUAUAACACCAACUCCCAGUUGCUACCAUUUUCUGCUUUUAUUUAUGUAACCACACAUUUGCCGUCAGCAAGAAUGGCCCAAUUUGCCCUAGCUAAGGGAGUAGGGUGGUCAUUCAGGGGGGUUUGUGUCCUUUGUCAUUACUUUGGAAAUUUUUCUUUGGAUCCAUGCAUGUAGGCCUCCUAUUUAUAGCAACAUGCUUGGAUUCUAAAUUGUCGCAGCAACUUGUGAAAGCUCCACAGGUGGUGAGAAAGAGAGGAUUGGAGCUCGCAUGGCCUCUUUGUAAUGUUUCUUGCUCAAAUGAGUAUUCCAACAACAGUAGCCUUUUGAACAAGAACAUAUGUUUUUGCCUUGUAUGGUUAUGAUGUUGCUGGUAUUUACUGUUUCUGAGAUGCUCAUUCGAGCAAGAAAUAUUAGAAGAGGAUAUUUUUCUACUAGGGUCUUGCUUCAAUAAGAGGAAGAACUGCUUGCUCAAAGUUUAUCAGAUAAGUUGCUGUACUUUUCUUCCCUAGCCACCACACAUGCAAAGGUUGUUUUCUGAUUUUUGCUCACAAGAGUCUAGCAAUAAAACAAGGUUUAGGGUUUUCCUCCUCUCUUUUUUUUCCUGUGUUUUAGUUGCUAAAUAGGGGGUUCAUCUAGGUAGGGAAUAUUUAUGGUGAUGGAUCAUGGUUAGUUUGUCUUGAUGAAAUCUGAUGGACUGGUUAAGCAUAUUUUUCCAUGAGAUUUCAUUGUCUGAUGUCCUGAAUUGAAGUUAUCUGCGCUCGCUUAUAUGGAACUAAUUCUGCUUCUGAUCACAGGUUUCUUAAUUCUCAAAGUGGUUAGAAUCUUCAGUUCUGCCGAUAAAAGACUUGCUCUUUCUUGUGGCUUGCUGCAGUUUUGUUAUAAUCCUUUUGUCACCAUGAGACCUUAUGCUGGUUCCAACUCAAAUUCUAUUUUUAUUCCUGAACUAUCAAUACUGUCCCGGGAUGUUUUUUGUUUUCAUCUGAUGAUACUAGCGUGUGUGUGUGUGUGUAAUUUCACGGUCACUGCUGAAGCCAUGUUCCUGAGAUCAGAUGUGCUUUAAUUAUAUGGUCUGUACAUUUCUGGUUCUUGUUCUGGGCUACUAUGGACAUAUGCUGAUGUGCUUGUUGCUUCAAAAUGUUGAUCACCUUCCUGUUUCUUGAUGAGCUUCUGAUCUUCUGCUAUGAAAGCUGUAUGUUUUCGUUUUCAGUGUAAUCUCUACUUCCUUUUAUGGAGUUUCCAGCUGUUCUCUCUAUGAUCUGGGUAGCCUUGAGUGAUAUAAUAUCUUUAAUUAAUUCUAAUAAAGUUUCUUCUUUUGAUCA